UUGACUGUCCCAGUUGUAUGUGGGAGAUCAUUUAGUGGGGUGCUUUUCAGCCCGGUAGUUUGGUGAACGCUGAAUAAGAAUCAGAUCUAUUUGAAGUAUUGUUUGGUUUUCCUUACAGGAUUUGUCGAAGAAAGAGAAGGCACAAUCAGUCUUCCACCUGCUCCAUCCGGAAGGACUCAAUAUUUAGCCAUUCUCGGGUUACCCUUACAGAUUGGUUAACAUUCAUUUAUCGAUUUGCACAGGGCCUACAACUGAGGCAAGUUGACAUGAUGGAGGAUGGUAUCGCCAAGAGCUCAAGGACGCUAACCAGAAUGACAAAAAUCCUGAGGAAGGUUUGCAACAAAGCCUUGAGGAGAUUCAAAAGGAGAAAGGGUUUUAAAAUUGGAUCCAGAUCUCUUUGGAGAUUUGUUGUGAUUGACGAAUCCAAGUUCUCGCACAAGAGAAAGGUAUAGA